rnacentral:lncRNA from 1 species
UAAAACGUGAACUCUUUGGGGGACACACUUAAACCAUAGCAGCGGCCAAGCUGUCUUGUGUUUGUGGUGCAUCUUGGGUGGAAGAAAAUCCCUGCCCCUCCCCCAGUGGUAGGAGACUUCAGUGGUGUAGUUCUUCUAUGUCUUCCCCACAGUUUUGCUAAUUUCUUUAAUAUCAGAAGACAGCUGGAUUCUCAUUUCUGCUUCUGCAUUCAGUCUAUUGUGAUAUAGCAUAUCAUGUAACUUCUGAAAAACUUCACUGUACACAGAUACUGACCUCACAGACUCCCUGAAAGGAUCUUCAUGACCUCUAUGGUUCCUUAGACUUUGAGAACUAUUGAUGUACAAGGAAAAAUGCUCUUGGUGUUCCAGCUUAGCACAGAAUAAAAUCUGGACUGCGUCAGUUUGUAAAGAUCUUAUGUCUACUUGGUCAUCAGCCAAGAAGGGAUUCCGAAGAUAGAAGAGGAGGCAUCAACACCGUGAACAUCAUGGCUGAGUUAUUUUGUGAGAAGGAUAAGCCUAAAGUAAAAACCUUGGAUUUGUCUCUGUCCUUGAACAUGCUAUCUGGAAAGAGUUUUCUUAAAAGUAUUGUCGUGAACACAUCCAUUUUCCCAGUAUAGUUGAAUGCAGGGUUUAAUAAAUAGAAUGAAUCUA